CGAUGAUGCAUCUAGAUAGAGCCAGGAUGGCGGAGGCAGCCGGGAGGUGGAGAGAUGGGGAGAUGGACUGGUGAAGACCUCCACCCCGACCAGGGGCAGCAGCUGUGUCUCGCACAUUUUCUAGAUGCCUGGUGCUAUUCAUCAGAUACUUCUUGACUGUUACUUUGCCCACCAGCAAUCACAUGAGGGAAGGAGAACCCAAGCUUCACGAGGGGAGAUAAAUAUUGUUCACCUGAACGGAACUGAACAGGGAGAGGGAAAUGGACACGCAUCAAUCAGCUCAUCGAAGCCCCAGGACAACCCGAUAAAGAAGGUGCUGCUAUGAUCUCCAUUUUACAGAUGGAAAAACGGAGGCUCAGAUGGAGCGUGUGAUAGAAGCUGAGAGCCAGCUGAUGGGUGCAUAGAGACCCCUGGACUGGGCAGAUGCUACUGAUUAUUACAGUCAACGGCUAUGACCUACAAGGCUCAGAUAUCUCCCUCCAGGCCCUGCAGAGUCUGUUUCUCAAGGCUAAUUUCUGUGUAGGUCUGCUCCUGGGAUGCUCGGAAAAGCUGUCUAGCCUGG
rnacentral:lncRNA from 1 species